rfam:Streptomyces aureofaciens strain ATCC 10762 contig_50, whole genome shotgun sequence.
CUGAUCAGCAUGAGUGACUGUUAUGCUGCCAGGGCGUCCGAGGGAGAAGUCCGGUGUGAAUCCGGCGCUGACCCGCAACGGUGAGCACGGCCCGAACCCCCGUGCCAGCCCGAUCGCCCCCGGUCGCUGAACUCCCGAC